rnacentral:rRNA from 1 species
AACGAACGCUGGCGGCAUGCCUAACACAUGCAAGUCGAACGAAGGCUUCGGCCUUAGUGGCGCACGGGUGCGUAACGCGUGGGAAUCUGCCCCUCGGUUCGGAAUAACAGUUAGAAAUGACUGCUAAUACCGGAUGAUGACUUCGGUCCAAAGAUUUAUCGCCGGGGGAUGAGCCCGCGUAAGAUUAGGUAGUUGGUGGGGUAAAGGCCUACCAAGCCGACGGUCUUUAGCUGGUCUGAGAGGAUGAUCAGCCACACUGGGACUGAGACACGGCCCAGACUCCUACGGGAGGCAGCAGUGGGGAUUAUUGGACAAUGGGCGAAAGCCUGAUCCAGCAAUGCCGCGUGAGUGAUGAAGGCCUUAGGGUUGUAAAGCUCUUUUACCAGGGAUGAUAAUGACAGUACCUGGAGAAUAAGCUCCGGCUAACUCCGUGCCAGCCGCCGCCGUAA